UGACGAGUGGCGGACGGGUGAGUAAUGUCUGGGAAACUGCCUGAUGGAGGGGGAUAACUACUGGAAACGGUAGCUAAUACCGCAUAACGUCGCAAGACCAAAGAGGGGGACCUUCGGGCCUCUUGCCAUCGGAUGUGCCCAGAUGGGAUUAGCUAGUAGGUGGGGUAACGGCUCACCUAGGCGACGAUCCCUAGCUGGUCUGAGAGGAUGACCAGCCACACUGGAACUGAGACACGGUCCAGACUCCUACGGGAGGCAGCAGUGGGGAAUAUUGCACAAUGGGCGCAAGCCUGAUGCAGCCAUGCCGCGUGUAUGAAGAAGGCCUUCGGGUUGUAAAGUACUUUCAGCGGGGAGGAAGGUGUUAAGGUUAAUAACCUUGUCGAUUGACGUUACCCGCAGAAGAAGCACCGGCUAACUCCGUGCCAGCAGCCGCGGUAAUACGGAGGGUGCAAGCGUUAAUCGGAAUUACUGGGCGUAAAGCGCACGCAGGCGGUCUGUCAAGUCGGAUGUGAAAUCCCCGGGCUCAACCUGGGAACUGCAUUCGAAACUGGCAGGCUAGAGUCUUGUAGAGGGGGGUAGAAUUCCAGGUGUAGCGGUGAAAUGCGU
rnacentral:rRNA from 1 species